ACCCUUUAUCAGGAAAAGCAGUGCUUGUGCAUUCUUCCAAAAGUAUUCUGAUAAGUUUCUCACAUACAACAUUGAGAAGAAAAACUGAUUUUGAGGAGAGCUGUAGGUUAUUGUACAUGAAUCACUCCUACUAAGAGAUCCUGAAAGAGGUCAUCAAAGCCACCAGAAACUAUUCCUGGACAGAGGAGGUUUUAUAGGUGUGGUUGGUCUCCUUACUGACGUGUCAACUACAAAUGCACAGGGUUCUGCCUGAAAUGUUUUAGUUGUUGCAGAUGUGUAGCUUCUAUAUGUAAAGUCUUCACUGCACGUGCUACAGAAACUUGAACUAUCUGAAGAGAGGAUGGAGUCAUCAGAUACUGGAUCCAGUCAAAAUAUUUGGAUGCUUUCAGAAACAUCUGCCUAGCUGAGAUGUGGGGAAGGAACAUAAAGCAUUUUCUCUCCCAGUCCCUGCUGAAAGGGGUAAUCUAAAAACCAAAAUAAAUGCCUUGAGAUCUUUUCUGGGAAUGAAAAAAUACAAAGACAAGCUAAGAAGCUGGAGCAGGAAAUUGACUUCAAACUCUGCUUGGAGAAUCACCAGCUGCAAAACUGUAUGGGGCAAAUUUCUCAUAAGAGUAUAGAGGAUGUGACACUGUACAGAGUUCACACUCAUGACUCAAUGAUGAAAUGGAAACCAGGAAGACCUGAUUAUGCAUGUCUGUGAAACUCACCCAUGCCAUCUGGAAAGGAAAAAGUUAAGUUGCAUUUCUGCAAUACAUUCUCUCCCUUCCCUGAGCUGCUCCUGGAAUAUAAAGAAAGCAAGGAAAUAUUUACUGGGCCUUCAGCUUUCUGUACUACUUCGGAACAGCACUAGCAUCUAUCUCAGGGUUUAAAAUAUGGAAGUUCUUGCCUUCCUUGAAUCUUUUCUCCCAGAAAUAACAUAUUGGCUCUCUUCCCUGUGACAUGCCUCAUCUGACAUUGGCUGGCUUUCAUAUAAAACCUUUGUUUUAGCCUACUAUCAAUUCAACUUUUACAUUGACAAAACGUAAUUUUUGGUUGUCAAUGUAAAAGUUGACAUUUUUACAUUCAACUUUAAUUUAAAUGCUGAAUUUAAAUUUAAAUGCUGAAAAUUUAUUUAAACACUUAAAAUGAUAUUAGAAGAGGUAUUUUAUGUUUUUAAACAGAGAUAUAUUUCAUUUUUAUAUGCAGUCAACAGAUCACAUGUGUAUGUCUCUUAUGUGUUCCUGUGUGGGAAUAGCUUGAAUUACUACAUAAGUUCUCUGAGAAUAUUAAGUUCAUUUAGGGGAACAGGACAUAUCUAUAUGAAAAACAGAAAUAAUACUACAAACAAAAGAGAGAUCACGAGAUAACAUGUAAUUAAUUCUCAGUGAAUGACAUGUCAUGAAAUCAUCAGAAGAGAUGAGGAUAUGGGAAAAGCUUUAUGAAAGUAGUCAGAACCAUAAGGAAGAUUCGGUUUUGUUAAACAGAAAGACCUUUUUCCAUUGUGGUAUUAAGUUUAAUAUGAUUUUCAUUGUAUUAAAAUACUAAUGCAGUAAGUUGAAAAUAUAAUUGCAUUCUUUUCAUUUAAUCUAUUGUAAAAUAUAUAAUCAAAAUGAUAUACUUGUAAAAUAAUUACAUAUAUAAUAAAAUCAAUAUACCUGUAAAAGAAUCA
rnacentral:lncRNA from 10 species